AUUGAACGCUGGCGGCAGGCCUAACACAUGCAAGUCGAACGAGCGGCGGACGGGUGAGUAAUGUCUGGGAAUCUGCCUGAUGGAGGGGGAUAACUACUGGAAACGGUAGCUAAUACCGCAUACCAUCAGAUGCACCCAGAUGGGAUUAGCUGGUUGGUAGGGUAACGGCUCACCAAGGCGACGAUCCCUAGCUGGUCUGAGAGGAUGAUCAGCCACACUGGAACUGAGACACGGCACAGACUCCUACGGGAGGCAGCAGUGGGGAAUAUUGCACGAUGGGCGCAAGCCUGAUGCAGCCAUGCCGCGUGUAUGAAGAAGGCCUUCGGGUUGUAAAGUACUUUCAGCCGGGAGGCGUUACCGACAGAAGAAGCACCGGCUAACUCCGUGCCAGCCGCCGCGGUAAUAC
rnacentral:rRNA from 1 species